UGGGGAAUAUUGGACAAUGGGCGCAAGCCUGAUCCAGCCAUGCCGCGUGCAGGAAGAAGCAUCUAUGGUGUGUAAACUGCUUUUGUACGGGAAGAAACACUCCUUCGUGAAGGAGCUUGACGGUACCGUAAGAAUAAGGAUCGGCUAACUCCGUGCCAGCAGCCGCGGUAAUACGGAGGAUCCAAGCGUUAUCCGGAAUCAUUGGGUUUAAAGGGUCCGUAGGCGGCUUAGUAAGUCAGUGGUGAAAGCCCAUCGCUCAACGAUGGAACGGCCAUUGAUACUGCUAGACUUGAAUUAUUAGGAAGUAACUAGAAUAAGUAGUGUAGCGGUGAAAUGCUUAGAAUUUACAUGGAAUACCAAUUGCGAAGGCAGGUGACUACUAAUGUGUUGACGCUAAUGGACAAAAGCGUGGGGAGCGAACA
rnacentral:rRNA from 1 species